rnacentral:rRNA from 1 species
GAUGAACGUUGGCGGCGUGCCUAACACAUGCAAGUCGAACGCUAGUAGCAAUAUUAGAGUGGCGCACGGGUGAGUAACACGUAGCUUACCCACCUCCCAGCGCGGGAUAACGGUUCGAAAGAACUGCUAAUACCGCAUAAGCUCACGGGCUAUAGAGGCUAGUGAGAAAAGGCUUAGGUCACUGGGAGCGGGGGCUGCGGCCCAUCAGCUGGUUGGGGCGGUAACGGCGCACCAAGGCGACGACGGGUAGGGGACCUGAGAGGGUGACCCC